rnacentral:rRNA from 1 species
AUUGAACGCUGGCGGCAUGCCUUACACAUGCAAGUCGAACGGUAACGCGGGGCAACCUGGCGACGAGUGGCGAACGGGUGAGUAAAGUAUCGGAACGUGCCCAGUAGUGGGGGAUAGCCCGGCGAAAGCCGGAUUAAUACCGCAUGAGACCUACGGGUGAAAGCGGGGGAUCGCAAGACCUCGCGCUAUUGGAGCGGCCGAUAUCAGAUUAGGUAGUUGGUGGGGUAAAGGCCUACCAAGCCGACGAUCUGUAGCUGGUCUGAGAGGACGACCAGCCACACUGGGACUGAGACACGGCCCAGACUCCUACGGGAGGCAGCAGUGGGGAAUUUUGGACAAUGGGCGCAAGCCUGAUCCAGCCAUGCCGCGUGCGGGAAGAAGGCCUUCGGGUUGUAAACCGCUUUUGUCAGGGAAGAAAUCUUCUGGGUUAAUACCUCGGGAGGAUGACGGUACCUGAAGAAUAAGCACCGGCUAACUACGUGCCAGCCGCCGCCGUAA